ensembl:lncRNA
GGAGGAAGCACUGGGGCUGCUUGAAGACACGCAGCCAUGCCUGCCAUUUGGUUGCCUUAGAGGCAUCACAGCAAGCAUUCCUGUACAUAUGCUCCAAAGAGAUUAUCUCCCUCCCUUACCCAAAGAAACACAAGCCGGGGGGGAAGGGGGGGGUGGAAAAACUCACUGAACGAUGAAAUUCCUAAAUCCCCAUCCCAUGAGAAGAAUUAAUGUAGUUCCUUCCCUGCUCCCCAGUAGGAGAUCCUAUUGUACAUCACAUACUAGCAAGAGUAUGUCUUUCAGCGUGCUCUUUUGCGAAGUGAGCGCAGUCCCUGGCACGGAGGGGCUGGGAUUUCACACACCCGAUUCAUCACCGAGGCUCACAUCGAGUGAGCCACCAUUUUGUUGCAGUCCCACAGCAGGAAUAAAAUGGUGGCGUAGACGAAAACUGCCAGAUCAAACGCGAGCCAGUUGUCUGUCACCACCUGCAGCUCUUCCCUGCCUUACACGUAACGCUGAAUUCAUAAUCAGGUUAAUAUUUGAUUUCUGGGCGCUUAAGCAAAACCACAAGGACGAGAAAAAAAAUAAAAGACAAUAACAGAUCAUUAAUGUUGCAGCCACGGAGCACCAAGACGUGAGAUAUCAAUGUUAGAAUUUACAUUUCUGCCACCAAACAGGCAGUCCCCACCUCGGGGAUUUAAUAGCGUGGGCAACCGACUCACCCAAAGACACCACCACCAAGUGGCUGCACACUGAACAUGGAAAGGGCUCAGUCCCUGUUUUCAGCCACCAGAACAUCUCUCAUGACACACUGCAAAAGUCAAAUGUGCCCAUUUAACUGCUACUAACCACAUCACACCACACUUCUGGACUCGUCAGUGGCAUCAAAGCCAGGCAAGCUUCCAGGGAGGGCACCUACCUAUAGGCAGCUGCUAUGAGAGAGUUUGUAUUUUUUCCAUAUUUACACCUUUCUCCUGCCCAGUGGUGUCAAUGGAGAUGGGACACGCUGCCCCAGGACACAUACAUACAUGCGGAGUGAACUUACCCUAUAGCAGAGCCCAUGCACUGCAACACGACCAGGACAGACACACAAUCCCAGCAACAAAAUGAAAUUAAUUUCUGUUCAUGGGCAAUCCUGCUCUGUUUGGAACAAUAUUUCAAUACACGAGACAAAAUAAAAUGAGCAACUCUUCAGUUUUCAAGCUAAACAAAGCAGGGUAACAACUAACAGUAUUUCCAUUCCAACAGCAUAGAUAAUCUUUAAAAUGAAAGCGUAUAUUCCCUCUUCAGCUCAAAGAACACAUGUAAAAUUUCUUAUUCAUUCCUUUCAAAGCUACUGACUGCAAAAAUAUAUCACUCGAGUUACACUUUUUAGCCAGUUUGAUUUGCAAACGUUCUUCUUGCAACACGUAAUUCCAUGGAGGAACACCCUGUCUGUUGGGUUUGGUUUAACAACUAUUUUUUACCUUUACUGCCUAUAGACACCUUCCUAAUCACAAGUUGCACGGUGAAUUGAACGAGGGAGUUUGGUUUAUUUUUUUAAAAGGCAUUUGGCCAACUUGUAAGGCAUUUGCUGGUUGGCAGUUUCUUUAUCUGAUGUAUGUUUUUUCAUCUGCUAGUUAAAUCAUUAUUUAAGAAGAAACAAAGAUGUUGCUGGGUUGAACAAGGCCAAAACCAGGCUUUAGAGAAGUUGCCCCAGAAACAGGCAUGGAAAGAUCUCCUCCAUUGCCCCAUAUCCCUCUGAAGGCACAUGGAGGGCAUCCCAGGAGGAGGUUAUCAGUCAUCGGACAUCACCCACAGGACACAGAUGGAGCGAUCAGACUGAAAAGCCAAUGUUCCGUCCAGACAGAGAUCAACCAUUGCAUUUCUGUUUCUCCAGCAAAUCACGGGCAGUUUGGGCUUUUUGUGAAUGCACACAUGCACACAGACACACAUGGAUCUUGUACACCUUUUUUUUUUUUUCCCCUGCAAAAAUAACUUUGAAAGCAUCGCUGACGAAAAACCCUUUGUUACGUUUUCUUAUCUGCUAAAAAGCACCCGGCUCCUGCUUAACCAACAAAAAUCACUCUGCAACUUUUUCCUUCUUCUGUCCUCUGACCCCAGAGGUGCAGCAGCAGCUCUGCUGGGAUCGGUGUGCCCGCAGCUCCUGCAGCACGAGCAAGGGUUAAGCAAACAUGUCGUGAAUGCCGUGCAGGCUGCAGAUACCUCAACAACAUUUCCAUCUCAGGCUCAGGUUAACAGUUCAGAAUAACAUUUUCCUACCCAAAGCUCAUAGCCUGAGGUUUUAAGCAUCUCUAAGUUAUCCUGUCUUGUGUUGAGCUUCCCGAGAGUGAUGCUGCUGGCACUCCUGGUUCAUGCACAUGGGCAUGAGAGAACACCCGCAUAAUAACAGAUUGCUGCUCUCCUCUGUUCUUGAAAAGCCAGGGGAUGUUUGCAGCCUGACCUCACGGCACAGCCCUGUGUGUGCCACCAGGUGGACUUCAGGGUCUCGACCCACCCCCACUGUACCUAUAGCCACAUCCUUCAGUGCCACAUGUCCAUGGUUCUGGAACACCUCCAGGGAUGGUGACCCCCCACUCCCUGGGCAGCUGUGCCGGAGUCUGACCACUCUUUUGGAGAAGUAUUUCCUAACAUCCAACCUGAACCUCCCUUGGUGCAACUUAAGGCCAGUAAGGAAAACGCAACAAGCUCAUUGCUAAGACUGAAAAAUAAACUCCCUAUACAGAACGGUGCUGCAGAACAAAUGCAGUGCUUUCAACAUUGCAGUAAUGACAGCUCUGAAGAUUUCAUCCCUCUGUUUCCCAGCAGAUACAUCCCCCACCCCCACCCCACCAAGGCAGCAUUCACACAUCAGCAGCGCUGUCUCCUAUGCAGCGCAAACACUCCACAGCAAAAAAGCAGUGACCAAAGGCUGCAGAUGCCCUGAUGAGGCUGCAACCCGUUGGAGUCCAUGGCACAACACUGCACCCAGCCAGCAUCGCCCACCACCGUGCUCCUGCUGAUGCACCGCACCCAUCAGUCUGCACUCUGGGAAUGAAAAAUAACACAACUGGAUCGAGUGUCUCCACUCACUGCUCUCCCAGCUCCAUCUUCCAGCCCUGGUGUCCACUUCUCCCACAGUCCCAUCCACCUCUCCAGUUCCUGCCACUUCCAACACUUUCUUCUUUCUAGAGGGAGUUUUCUAGUUUUAUUUCUUUCUUUUGCAGCAGACCAACUCAUUGGCUUUUUCUCUUUAAAAUAAAAAAGAUCACUGCUUU